UCCCCAUUUAUAUAACAGUAGAAUCGGAGAAUGGGACGCUCUACAAUUGGAUAGCAACUAUUUUUUCACAGAGCACGUGAGGGGCGUGCCACUUGCUUUUUUUUAGGCCGUCACUCUGCAACGGGAGCGCAGCUUGUGUAGACAGCGAACGCCAGUGGGUGGUGACGGCGAGUCUGCAUUUUCCUAUAAACGAGAGCCCUCUAGGAGUCGGAGCGCAAAGUGUCAGUGGUGGAUGUCAGGUAAUAAGAUCGAGCCAGUGAUGGAAAGGCACCACGGGAGAGGGAGAGAGGCAGAAGACGGCAAACCGAAAGUCGAAGAUCCGCAGGAAUAACAUCAUGUCUGUAGUGCGUGCCGAACUGGACGACACCAUUGCUUCACUGCGGUGUGAGGAAGGAGUAGCCGGGGCUCGCUACGUCACGGUCAGAGCAUGUUCAGCGGUGCAGGAGGUGGUAGAUUCUUUACAGUCGCUGUACCUUGAAAAUCACCAUGGACCUGAAGAGGAUGGCCAGGAAGAUGUUUCGCCUCCGUGGAAAGAUCUGGCGCAGCAACUUGCUCAUGUAAAUGAGAGGGUCUGUGAGGUAGCUGAAAGCGCAUUAGGACGCGAAGAAGCCUUACGGACCCGCAUCAGCAGCUCCCAGGAGGAGAUGAAAGAAUAUGUUAAUGAACAACUUAAACUCCUGGGACAAGAGAUCGUGCUGUGCCUCCAGAGGCGGGAUCGAUGCUGGCGAGAAUCUCUUCAGGGGGAAGUCAGGAAGAGUCUCCAGACAUACUGUCAGUCACCUAUCCACUCGACACCUCGGGGGUCGCCAGGUGCUAUAUACGUUACCCGUCCUCCCACCCCUGGGGUACGCCUGGCCUUCCCCAAGCUGGGGGCUCAAUAUUCUACAUAUAUACAAUAUUCAACUUUGUGGAAGAAGGGGAGGCGUAUUUGGCCGUCACACCUUUGACAGUCAAAGAACUUUUGGGAGUGAUAGGGGCCUCCCUUUCUGGGCCAGUGCGCAGCUGGUGGCUGACCGCGAAGAAAAACAUCACGGACUGGGGAUCCUUUUGACAAGCUUUCCUCGCAGCUUUUCUUCCUGAGGAUUAUGAGACCGAACUUGAAGACAAGCUGCGAUCCAUGGUGCAACUUCCAACACAUUCCAUCUGGGACUUUGCCUAUGAAUAUAGGGCUUUGUGUUUAAAGUGGCGGCCAGCCAUGUCCAAAGAAGAGGUGGUCCGCCGCAUCCUUAAUGCCUGUAACCCGCGGCUAGCUGGGUGUCUCAGGGGGGUUGUCGGGUCGUUUGAAGAUCUGGUUAGGGUUGGCUCACAGGUGGAGCGGGACUGGGGUAACUCCAAGUCGUACUGGAGUAAAAUACAGUCCAGUACAAAAGAAACCCAGUCUUUAAGACCCCAGCGGGUCAAGCCUGGCCGGUCGGAGGCCGAUCUCACGAUUAUGCAGGUCAGUGCGUCCAUCCUGGUCGUCCCAGUGUCGCUGUGGGGGUGGCUGGUGGAUGCUGUGGUGGACACCGGAAGCCAUCAUACCCUCAUCAGACAUAGUAUUUGGAGGAAGAUUUGCCGACCGUCAGAUAAAAUGACACCUGCCCCAUCUGUCCGAUUCUUGUUGGCGGAUGGAAGUGAACACAAGGCUUUGGGCAGAGUCCCCCUGAGGUACAGCGUACUGUCCACCACCUGGGAAAUGGAGACCUACGUUCUGGAUGACCGGCACCUGUCCGUCCCGUUACUCCUUGGGCUAGAUUCUUUAACAGCAAUGAAGAUGACUCUAUCUAUCUAUUCAUCUCUGUCCCAGGGGGUAUACGGUGCCAGGGGAAGGGGUAUGCGAUUUUGUACAUAAGCCUAGGGAAGACUUAAGUCUGAAGCCACUCAAGUUUUACGCAGCAGUGAGGAGGGAAAAUAAAACCUCAGCGGCUGCCCCAGUGGAGGAACAACCCGAAGAGGUCAGGCCAGUCCUGAAGAAGUGGUCGGGGGGUAUGGACAGAGAAAUUGGGAGUCGCACGGCAGGUUACCCACGCGAUUCAUACCUCCGAUGAAGUCCUUGUGAGACACCGGGCGUAUCAGGUUUCUCCACUGAAGAAGGAUAUUAAGCAACAUCUAGACAAAAUGCUCGCUGAGGGAAUAAUUGAACCAUCAUUCUCCUCCUGGGCGUCCCCUGUAGUCCUAGUAAAGAAAACAGAUGACACCUUUCAUUUCUGCGUGGACUACAGGGGUGUGAACGCGAAGACAAACCUGGAUGCAUAUCCCAUGCCCCUGGUUCAUGAAAUACUCGAGUCACUGCAUGGAGCAGCUGUUUUUAGUACAUUGGACCUCCGCAGUGGCUAUUGGCAGGUGCCGAUGGAUGAGGGGAGUAAAAAGAAGACGGCCGUAAUCACCCCUGAGGGCUUGUUCCAAUUUAGUUCCAGAUCUUCCAUGCCAUUUGGCCUAAAGAACGCUGGUGCCACUUUUCAACGGCUCAUGGAACAAGUGCUGAGGGGGUUAAUCGGGAAAAUCUGCUUUGUGUACAUUGAUGAUGAUGUUAUUAUUUACUCCCCUUCAAUUGAACAGCAUCUCCAGGACUUGGAUACCAUCUUUCCUCGUCUCCAGCAAGCACACCUCACCCUGAACACA